rnacentral:rRNA from 1 species
CCUACGGGAGGCAGCAGUGAGGAAUAUUGGUCAAUGGACGAGAGUCUGAACCAGCCAAGUAGCGUGAAGGAUGACUGCCCUAUGGGUUGUAAACUUCUUUUAUAUGGGAAUAAAAUGUUCCACGUGUGGGAUUUUGUAUGUACCAUAUGAAUAAGGAUCGGCUAACUCCGUGCCAGCAGCCGCGGUAAUACGGAGGAUCCGAGCGUUAUCCGGAUUUAUUGGGUUUAAAGGGAGCGUAGGUGGAUAGUUAAUUCAGUUGUGAAAGUUUGCGGGUCAACCGUAAAAGUGCAGUUGAAACUGGCAGUCUUGAGUACAGUAGAGGUGUGCGGAAUUCGUGGUGUAGCGGUGAAAUGCUUAGAUAUCACGAAGAACUCCGAGUGCGAAGGCAGCUCACUGGACUGCAACUGACACUGAGGCUCGAAAGUGUGGGUAGCAAACAGGAUUAGAUACCCUAGUAGUC